rnacentral:rRNA from 1 species
GAUGAACGCUGGCGGCGUGCUUAACACAUGCAAGUCGAACGAAGCAUUUGCGACAGAUUUUUUCGGAAUGAAGUUGCUUAUGACUGAGUGGCGGACGGGUGAGUAACGCGUGGGUAACCUGCCUUGUACUGGGGGAUAGCAGCUGAAACGGCUGGUAAUACCGCAUAAGCGAACAAUGUUGCAUGACAUGGUGUGAAAAACUCCGGUGGUAUAAGAUGGACCCGCGUCUGAUUAGCUAGUUGGUGAGAUAACAGCCAACCAAGGCGACGAUCAGUAGCCGACCUGAGAGGGUGACCGGCCACAUUGGGACUGAGACACGGCCCAGACUCCUACGGGAGGCAGCAGUGGGGAAUAUUGCACAAUGGAGGAAACUCUGAUGCAGCGACGCCGCGUGAGUGAAGAAGUAAUUCGUUAUGUAAAGCUCUAUCAGCAGGGAAGAUAGUGACGGUACCUGACUAAGAAGCUCCGGCUAAAUACGUG